GUGGCUAUCGUCUAACGGAUAGGACAAGAAACUUCUAAUUUCUCGAUGGAAGUUCAAUUCUUCCUAGCCGCG
rnacentral:tRNA from 1 species